AGCGAACGCUGGCGGCAGGCCUAACACAUGCAAGUCGAACGGAAGCACAGUAAGAGCUUGCUCUUAUCGGUGGCGAGUGGCGGACGGGUGAGGAAUAUAUCGUAAUCUACUUUUUCGUGGGGGUUAACGAAGCGAAACCUACGCCAAUAUCGCAUACGCUCUACGGGUGAAAGCAGGGGAUCUUUGGAGCUUGUGCGAAUGAAUGAGCCGAUGUUGGAUUAGUUAGUUGGCGGGGUACAGGCCCACCAAGUCGACGAUCCGUAGCUGGUGUGGGUGGAUGGUCGGCCACACUAGAACGUGGACGCGGACCAUGGUCCUACGAGAGGCAGCAGUGUGGAAUGUUAGACAAUAGUCGGAAGCCUUAUCCAACCAUACCACGUGUGAUGAAGAGGCCUUGGGGUUGUAAAGCCCUUUUGUUGGGAAAAAAAAGCAGCAGGUUAAGACCCCGCUGGUCUGACGGUACCCAAAAAAUAAGCACCGGCUAACUUCGUG
rnacentral:rRNA from 1 species